rnacentral:rRNA from 1 species
GACGAACGCUGGCGGCGUGCCUAAUACAUGCAAGUAGAACGCACAGUUUAUACCGUAGCUUGCUACACCAUACACUGUGAGUUGCGAACGGGUGAGUAACGCGUAGGUAACCUGCCUGGUAGCGGGGGAUAACUAUUGGAAACGAUAGCUAAUACCGCAUAAUAUUGAUUAUUGCAUGAUAAUUGAUUGAAAGAUGCUAUUGCAUCGCUACCAGAUGGACCUGCGUUGUAUUAGCUAGUAGGUGAGGUAACGGCUCACCUAGGCGACGAUACAUAGCCGACCUGAGAGGGUGAUCGGCCACACUGGGACUGAGACACGGCCCAGACUCCUACGGGAGGCAGCAGUAGGGAAUCUUCGGCAAUAGACGAAAGUCUGACCGAGCAACGCCGCGUGAGUGAAGAAGGUUUUCGGAUCGUAAAGCUCUGUUGUAAGAGAAGGACGGGUGUGAGAGUGGAAAGUUCACACUGUGACGGUAUCUUACCAGAAAGGGACGGCUAACUACGUG